rnacentral:misc_RNA from 1 species
UUCAUCCAACAAGUCAUCUAUAAUUGGAAUUGGGAAUUUGUUUUUAAUGGUGGCAUCAUUAAGUUGUCUAUAAUCUAUGCAGAACCUCCAAGUGUUGUCUUUUUUUUUUAAUUAACAAAACAGGAGAGGCAAAAGGACCGUGGCUAGGUUGAAUGACUCCUGUUUGUAACAUUUCUUUCACUUGCUUCUCAAUUUCAUUUUUCUAAAAAUGGUUGUAUCUAUAAGGUCUGAGAUUUACAUGUUUGGAGUUAGGUUUGAGUUGGAUAGAAUGGUUAUAAUCCCUAUAAGGUGGUAAUUGCGUAGGGUCUUUAAACAGGUCUGCAUAGUUGUCUAAUAAAAAUUGUAGUUCAGGUGGAACAUCACUCUUAGAUUCAACAAGUUCAUCAUUGACAGCAACAGCAUGCAAAGAAAAUAAAUGAGUUAACACACCAGAAAGUCCCUUCCUGAAUAA